GUAGUUAGCCGUGGCUUCCUCCUUAGGUACCGUCACUUCUUCGUCCCUAAAGACAGAGGUUUACAAUCCGAAAACCUUCUUCCCUCACGCGGCGUCGCUGGGUCAGGGUUGCCCCCAUUGCCCAAUAUUCCCCACUGCUGCCUCCCGUAGGAGUCUGGACCGUGUCUCAGUUCCAGUGUGGCCGAUCAGCCUCUCAGCUCGGCUACCCAUCGCUGACUUGGUGGGCCGUUACCCCGCAACUAUCUAAUGGGACGCGAGUCCAUCCUUGAGCGGAUUGCUCCUUUGACCCCUGAGCCAUGCAGCUCUGUGGUCUCAUGCGGUAUUAGCAACGAUUUCUCGUUGUUAUCCCCCUCUCAAGGGCAGGUUACUCACGCGUUACUCACACGUUCGCCACUAAAGUAUCUACCGAAAUAAAUACCUCCGUUCGACUUGCAUGUGUUAGGCACGCCGCCAGCGUUCGUCCUGAGCCAUGAUCAAACUCUGA
rnacentral:rRNA from 1 species